AAUACCUACAAAUUAAGAUACUGUAGUUUCUGGCAAUUGAUCACCAUCCAAGAGUGGACGAUUUACGUCACAUUUAAAUCUGAUUAGUGAGUCUUAUCCAGGUUCCAACAAAGACGAUUACACGAAAACCGGUCUAAUGAUCGUCACUUGCUAUAGUUUAAUUUCUUUACUUUUCCACAGGAUUGAUGUGUCAUCCGCAAAGAGAGUGAAUUUUCCACAUAUAUUAAUUUUAACAAGUCCGCAAUUAUUCCUGAGAACCGAUAAUUGCUUACCAAGACUGGCAUUGACCUUCAAGGAGAACUCCAUGAUCCACACAAUCCAAGGCGUUGGACAGAUCACAGACUGUAGUACCCUCAUUCAAACCAAAAUAAACAAGUAAAAUACCAUAAUAUUUCAAGGGAACUAAAAGGUAAAUGGCAUCCUGAGGAACUCUUAGAUGUUUGAAACCCAAAUUGUCUUACAGUUAUAAUUCUGAAGAAGGAUUGUCACCUUCAUCACCCUUGAAUCUAUAAACUACCAAAGAAGACAAGUGGGAAAUACACCUUCAAACCAAGAAGUGUUGACAGCAACUGACAUUGCAUAGAGGGCCUUAUCAGGUAUCCACAAGAGCACUUCAGGGCAGAUUUUAUCCUCGCCACAAGAUUUGUUUUUUAUUACAGAAAUUGUUUUCCUAAUCUCUUGCCGGUUUGAUUCAUAAAAAACUAAUAUUGCAAACAUUUUGAGGAUAAAACGAGAGCUACGAGGUUUGUGAGUUAUUUAAUACCAGUAAAAAUUGUUCAACUGGUCUGGAUCAAUAUCUGGGCUAAUAUGACAUUCUCUUAGCAGACUUUAAGAGUUUUCUAUAAAUAUAAUUAGAAUAAUUAAUAUAUAAUAACUGUUAUAUUAUUCCCUGAAAU